GACGAACGCUGGCGGCGUGCCUAAUACAUGCAAGUCGAACGCAGUGGGGACGGGUGAGUAACACGUUGGUAACCUCCCAUCAGAGGGGAUAACACUUGGAAACAGGUGCUAAACCGAUACUGAUUGUUGGACCCGCGGUGCAUUAGCUAGUGGGUGAGGUAACGGCUCACCAAGGCCACGAUGGAUAGCCGGCCUGGGAGGGUGAUAGGCGACAUGGGGAAUGAGACACGGCCCAGACACCAACGGGAGGAAGGAGUAGGGAAUCGUCGGCAAUGGACGAAAGUCUGACCGAGCAACGCCGCUGAAGGGAAGAAGGUUUUCGGAUCGUAAGACGCGGUUGUUAGGUAAGCGGUAUCUAAACAGAAAGCCACGGCUAACUACGUGCCAGCAGCCGCGGUAAUUC
rnacentral:rRNA from 1 species